AAUCAAGGCUGUGCAUUAACCUAAAAACACCCUCCUUUUUAUCAAGUCUCUCCUUUUCUUCCCUGUGUUUCAGACGAUUCUGGACACACCUUCAGAAUCUGAUGACAAAUUGCGUGAGAGCAUGUCCAUCUACUGGGACCUGUACAACUUUGCGAUAUUCCGAUGUAGUGUCUAGAUGGCAGGAGAAGCACUUCGCCAUCUGUGAUUUUGUAAUUAGCGGCUAUUUUGACACUUUUUACUCUGUGCUGAGAAUACUUCAGGGAUUGCUUUUUUGUGUUUGGAAUGAAUAGGUUUAAAUAAGCAGUAUCGGGCAAUGGAGAUGCAGGUGGAUGCAAUGCCAAGGCACAGCUGGACAAACUUUCAGCGAUACACGUUUAGUAUUUCCUUGCGAAGCUGGCGCACCAUCACAUUGAAGAUAGGACCAUGGCUUUGUCUACCUUGCAGGAACACCCCAGUUAGAACCUCGGUGGACUCCAAAUGGACAGAUACAUGGCAGAACACACUCUCCUAAAUGGAUGUAACUCUGAGGAAGUGGACUGUUGGAGUGUUUGAAAUGAUGAUCAACCACAGGUCCUUUCAAUAUAACGAAAAUGGAAUCGAUGCAGCACUCUGUCGGGCAUAGAAGAUGAUGCCACAUCCAGUAUAUUUUGAGGGUGAGCAGCUCGGUUCCAUUGAAGAACAUUUUGGAUUGAGCGAGGUUACGUUUGUGUGGUAACAACAAUGAGGUCAGGAAAAACUGUUUUUCUAAUUUUUUAGUAUGUGGUGCAUAGCAACGGUUUAUUUCUAAUGCGAGGUUUUGGAAGCUAAGAGCUGUGACGCUUUCAAGGUCUUAAUGUAAUUAAGAAUGUUGGUGAUGUCCUUAUGCCUCAGCUGAUGUUUUUUCACUGUAACCGAGACAAUGCAUGCAGUGGGAUUAAAUAUUCAUACUGCCAUACUCUUGGGAAUGUUUAUGGACAUAAACUCAAUAAUGGUCAUUGUGGUGAUUUACGCAACAUGAGGGUUAUCAUUCACUAGAAAUUAUGUAAUGACCAAGGAAACUGACCACCUUUAGCCUGGUACCUUCUUACAGUAACCUGGCCUGAAAUAAUGGAAUUGCUUGCUUGUUACUGGAAAUGUCCAUAAUCUGCAAUCAGUACAAAAUUAUUCUUGCACCGUUAUAAAUAGAAUAUAACUUAAGAAUGAUUUUUAUGCAUUAAAGCAAGGGGGAAAAGUUUGUUUACAUGACAUGGGUUCUCUGUUUCCGAGCUGCAGCAGUCUUUUCAUUUCCAGAAUUUUCUCUUGGAGUGAAAAUUUCAUAGCGAGUGCUCAGAUGUUCUCUGUGUCUUCCUGUUUGUAGGAAAUUUUAAUUUACUUGAAGAUUGAGACAUAAUGCAUAUAUCAUAUCUUAUGUUCUAAAUGCCAGACUUCAUUAAGACUUAUUAUUCAUACCCAUAGUAACUGUUCUUGGCCUUUAUAGGCUAAACUCUGGAAUGAUUAUUGUUAUCACCAUAUUUCACUAUGGACUUCAUCAUUGCUAUUUUCCAAUUUUCAGGCUUUUAUUCUGAAAUGUCAUGAUGAUGGUAUAUACACUCUGGAUUGUUGGGUUUCUGGACACUGCCUAUUAUCUGAUAGCGUAAUGUAACAUUUUGAGGAGUGAAUCUGCCCUUUUCUUGAUGUGUAGUGGAGGUGAAGGGAAUUUGUAGUCUCCAUUAGAAUGAGCUAAUCACAAUCAGUGGUUGAGAUUAGGUCUUGUAACAUCAGAUGAUGGACGAGAUUCAAAUGCCCCAACAAUACAGAUUUAGGCAUCUAGUGUGAAAUUCAGCUUAUUUUUAAAAUAUACGUAUGCAUAUUGUUUUAUAGUAACUACCAUUUUCAGAUUUCCAGAAGAUAUUCAUUACUCUAAUAUCCUCUGCCUCUUUGUUUGGUUAGGGUAUGUUGGGGGGCAGGGGGUGGAUUGGAUUCAUCUGGCCCAGGAUAGUGUCCAGUUGCUGACAAAUGAACACAGUGUUGUAUACAAACCUGGGUGGUAGUGAUAUUGGAGGUGGGUGAGACGAGGGGUUACCGUUGAUUAAUGAACUAUACUUUUAAUAUGAUUAUAUAUUUUACAAUUAGUAUUUAAAUGAGUUUACCGAUAUGGUUACAAAACUAUCAUUAAUUAUCAAGAUAUACACAUAUAAACCCUAAAACAUAAAUCAAUAUACAGUGAAACCUCUAUCCAUCGUUCCCGGAACUAUCGUUUUCCCGGAUGCAUCGUCCGUU